CCCUAGGUUCCCAACACAGUUUGGGAACUUCUGGUGUAAAGUGUGGUGGAUCUGCUUGCAGGCAGCUGGGCAGUCGAGGCAGUGGCGCUGGAGUGGCGCGCAGGAGGUGUCGCGGGCGUGGGGCGUGCGGCCCGCGGCGCCGCCUCCGCCGCUCCCAGCGCCGGGCGCGCGCCGCCGCCCGGCCCAGUCCGCGCCGAGCCGCGCUGCCGCUAGCACGCGUCCGCACUCGCGUCCACCGCACCGCGCACCGUAUACUUCUUCACCAUCAGCGCUGUCUUCGAUCGGAGUGGCGGUUCGCAUCUUACCGGGCAGCAUUAGAGUCUAACCGCUAUUUCUAAUACUGUCAGGUAAAGAUGUCGUCCGCGCUCCACGUUCUACGGUCGGCGUGAGGAAUUCUACGGAACCGGUCCGACGACGACGGUUAUAUUUACCGGGUUCGGUUGACUGGAAGCUCGCCGCAGCCGGGUCGGCGCGGACGCCGCUCAGCCGCGUGCGCACGUUGUCUUCGGCGCAUCACCUUUGGAUCGUACGGUAAUCUACAGAAAACGUGGAAGGUCGUCGUCGGCAGUGGUGUGCCGCGCGCCAUUACGUCACACGUGUCGCUAUGUAUGUCUGCUCGCUAGUGUCGGCACCCGCACUCGGAUGUACGAUUGGAUUCUUCGCCGCCGUUGCUGAUCUAGGUAAAAUGUUCAGCCAUUUUUCCUCAACUCUGAUUAUUUCGUACAUUGUCAUCGCCUACACUUUGUGUGUAUUACCUACAACCGGUUUUCGGCUAAGUAACUUAGAGUUUGCAUGCUUUCUUUGAGAAAUAGAAAAUAGAAAAUGUUUGCUGCAGCCAAAACUGUAGGUACAUUAGAAUGUGCAAUGACAACAGUGUCAGUAGCGCCCUCUGUGCGCCGAGCGGCGGUGCCCAGUCGGCAGUUCGGCGGAGUGUUGAUGUAGCGACUUGUAACUAAUGAGAAACGCGUAACAGUGUGGCCGGUCGGAGCAAGAAACGCUUCCCGAACUCGAUGUUAUCAACAUAAUCCGCGCACUGUUGCGUUUCCUCAUCGGCGCUCACGUAACCCACUUAACUAAUUAACAUUCCUCGUGGCCGGCAUGAGCACGCGUUCUCAACUCAUUAACUCGGCACUCGCUGCUCCUCUUGCCGCGCCCCACGCUCGCGCUCUCCGACUCGCGUGUUGGUGUCUGGCACUGCAUGGAGCCACUCGCACAUUCGAUACCUCGCUAAUCAAACGGAUACAAAAUACUCGGUGUUAGAGAUGUUGAUAUACAAAAGUGACGUGUUGGCGUACGCGAAGCCACUGCGUUGGCCUGAUGUUGGUGCCUCCAAGUCAAUACAUUGUGGAAAGUUUUGACUUUGAAUAUUAAUAUGUAGGCCAAGGCCCAAGUCUUCUCUGUGUCGUCAUGACUCGACUCUGGCCGAUCUGAUAUUACCUCUUUUUCGCGCUUAUUAAUUGCUUUUAUGGCUUCCGCAUAAUUGUCCUUUAUGAUUUCGUUUUCAUGUAGUUAAAUGCCUCAUGUAAUUUGUUUAUCAGGUUUUGCGACGUUGACGUAAUGUUAACUCUGUUUAUACCAAUAGGUAUUGACAUAACAUUUUACAGAAAAAAAUCAUUAAACUUGUCCCAAGAAUCUCCCGAUAGCAGAUAGCGAAUAUCAGCAUUUAUCACAUUCACCCCACUGAGGCUUGUUCACGCCACAGCCGACGUGGCGGCGGCGUGGUGGUGGCGUGGAGGUGGCGCGUGUCGUGCGGAGCCUGCAGUUAGCUGCCCGCUGUCCGCGUGAGACUCGAUAACGCGACCGGUGAAAGCCGCAGUAAAUUAAUCGCUCAGGUGGAUUCAGCUUUCGAAAUGAAUUUUUAUAGCAUCGGAGUGUCCCCGCGGUCGGGACCGGUUCUUAAUUUCCUAUAGGUGCGCGCGUUGUGCAUCUAUUUCGGGAGUCGUUGACCGCGGGUUUGGCACUACGGCCGGCCGGUUUUAUUCUGUUCGUGUCAGAGAGUCGUUCCGGGAGUGGCUCGGCCGCCGAUCGGCGAUUUCGUGUAAAACUCGGGCGUAUUUCAGGCGAUGACGUAACGCGCGGGAGUGCGUCGUCCCCAGGCGCCGAGGGACAUGCCUAAUCGAGCAUAAUGUUAUUAAUAAGCCGGGGGCGGGCCGCGACUCGCCCUCGCAUUCAACUACACUUUAUCGGCCAUCCAGCGCAUGCAAUCCAACACAAAUAUGAUACGCUAGCACAGAACAGCGCGCACCAUUGUUGCGCUAUUUAUAUACAUUUCUAAACUGAGACGCUUCUGUCGUUCGCAGUGUCCACAGCACUACAGUCGCCAGCCGCAGGACACACUCGAUAUCCUAAUCCAUUGAUUGAUGAAGCAGCUGUACAUUAUCCAUACACGCUGAACAUCUCGAGAGAGAGUACAAACUAAACCACUUUGUAAACUGUUUCGUUGUCAUAACGUAACACAACCGUGUAUAAGCCGUCAGACAGCACGAUCCGGUGUAGUGCAGCUUUUGCAAACGUUAUCACAGUAGCGGCGUGGCAGGCAUCAGAGGCAAUUUUAUGUAAUAUCAUGAAGUUUGAUAGUCACAUACACGUUCAAUAUAGUAAUCAUCUCAACACUGGUCCUCCCUAGACGUUACAGUUGCAACCACUCAACGUCAGCCAUAUUUCCGCGGUUUUCGACGCAUCCGACAUCUGUAGACCUUCACAAAUGAUGAAAGUAGUUGGUUACAUAGAAUCCUGAGUUCAGAUUAAGGAUCAAUCGAUCAUAACGCUCAGAAACCCUUGGAGCAGUCGGUUCACAGAUAGGUGACCAUCUUGUUAUGACGAGUUCCUCCUUUUUUUCGAAGAUCCGUUAAAUCAGUGGGUCCCUUCAGUCAUUUGACCAUGCGUUCGUUAAGGGUAGUCAGAAGCCAGAAAACCUGACUGCCAGUCUUUCAGUUCAAGUUGCCCAGGUUGAGUUAGGUAAACAGUGAUACUCGGCUGCAUCCAGUGAGACUAGAAGCCGACCCCAACAAAGUUGGGAGAAAGCUAUGCAGAUGAUGAACUGUCUUGAAAUCCAAAUCCUUUGAUGAUCUGAAGACGCAAGCACGUUCAGCAUUGUGUCGAAGACAUCGCUACCGAGUGUCGAGUACGCGUCACUGUCGCCGAAGUAAAAACUUUAAGUGAAGAAACUGAAAACUUUAUUUUGUACAAGACUGGCAGUGCUGUCUACCGGUUUUCUAAAUUAGUUUCGACACUUCGUCGGUAAGGCAUCACUGCAUCGAACAAACAACAGAUAUUAGAUACACACAACAAUUUCAUUAUUAUCUUAAAUAAUAAGCAGUAGUGACUGGAAUUAUAGGCAGUUGUUACAGAAAGAUAAUAGAUUUUAUCGUAGGAUCCUGCAAGAUCUGAUUUGAGAACAGUUUUGAAAAGAGCUGCUUCACUUUACUGUCAUUUUCGCAGAGAUGUAAGCGUUUGGUGUCGGAGCUGCUGCCACGGCGCAGUGGUGUUGUUGCUCAAUUGCGCUGUAGAGACAAACAGAUUUGGAUGUAGUUGAGCAGGGUUGCGUUAGCUGCGUAGUGGCGGCAGGAGCACCGGCGGCGCUCGCGCAGAGUGAACGACCGGCGCUAUCUGCGCGACACCGGCCACAUCACUGCCGUCGCCGUAGGGCUGCAUGUGUGUGCGUCACACUAGCACACUCACACUACAUUGUCAGAACUGUUUACAUAGCAAUCGUAAUAUCGGCUAAACAUUUGGCAUCCCUUAUGUUGAAGCCACAUGGAUGCCACUUAUACGUACUUGCGCGCAAGUGUAGCUUCUUCAUUACGAAGUCUACUGGGAGUGACGACAGCUACUGCGAUUACUUUCUACGUACCUAUUCUUUAUCUAGGUAUAUGUCCUUAUUUUCUAUGAUUAUAAACGCAGUGUUUUGACACAAAUAUGUGUUUUAAAUGUAGAUAUUACAUACAUAAUAGGUAUGUAAAACUACUGUGUGUUGGGACUGGCGCAUUUAGGGAUUCGGUAAAAAUAACGGUUUUCGUAAAAUUUUAUUUACCUGUGUUGCUGGGCUUCGUAGCAAGUUCCAAGCUUCUGGGUCACAGGAGGUACCCUGUGGUGUUGCGAAUGUCGACAAUGAGUAGCAUAUCGGAUGUAUAGCUGACGACCUCGGUAGCGCAAUGGUCACCAUGCCGGACUGCCGGACCUUCAGGUCCCGGGUUCGAUUCCUGGUACGGUCGACAGUUCUGUGAUGAGCAUGCUUGUUGGCCGUGGUCUGGGUGUUACAAUAUGUAUUCAUAAAUAUGUAUGUAUAUAUGUAGCUAUAUGUAGUUUAUCAGUUGUGUUAGCACCCAUAACACAAGUUAAGUAAUAACUUACCAUGGGGCUAACCGACCGUGUGUGAAAAGGUGUCCCGACAUUAUUUUUUAUUUAUUUAUAGUUCGAUUGCGUCGGCUUUGUAGUAGUUGAUAGUAAAUCCACAACUAGCUCGUACGUCCACAAGUUCCUGAGAAAGGGUUUUGUCCUACUUUUUAGAUUUCCAUGGUCCAUACAGACAGAUGGACUGAGGUUCAACAAACCUUAUAAGGGUUCCAAUUUAUUCUGAUUGCACGGCACCUUAAAAAAAUACAGAAAAAAUAAAGACCGUCGAAAUGUUUGUAUUUCAAUAAUAGCUAUGUAUAUGCACAGGUACAGUUCGUAUCUGCAGGGGCGAGGAGGAGUCGAGGUCUGGCACUGCAGCGGCGGGAAGCCACUUCAGGGAACAGCGAGCUUUCCAAGAAGUGCGCUUGAGAUUGUCAUGCCAGUAUCGAGCUCAACUACGCUCGUCACUAGGUGUAUGUACACUAUACGUACCUAUUAUAUAAGAUUCAUUCUAUCACAUUGCACGUCAAAGGCUUACAUUCGAUAAAGCUUAAGAUAAAACUACUCUGCGCCUGGUCUGUCACGAACUUGCUUAAUAUUUUGUAUAAUUAUACGUAAAAAGAAAGUUAAUCUUGAUACAUGUUUAAUAUAUAAUUAAAAGCGUGCGGUGUCCGCGCUCGCUGGAGGCUCGCGUCUGCGGGCGCGGGCGCGGCCACAGCUCUGUCCAGCAGCCGGAUUACGGAGUACAUACUCAUAGUGUACCUACUUAUACAUGUGUUGACGAGUAAUCAUUACCUAACAGAAAACCUAACACAAUGAUUCGGUAUUUUAAAAGGUCCCUGUAUUCGGUAUUGUUUUACAUUUUGUACGUUUGGGCUGUCGCUAAACACGAAUUUGCAUAUAUUACGUAUGUAUAGAACUGGAAUUUUAGCUGCUAAUUAACAUUCAAAUAACUGCUGGAAUCAAUAGCUAUCAAACUGGUUUUGUGUUACAUUACAGCUCAAUAGAUUCAUUUUAGAGCGUUUGAAUAGGGGAAUCCGAUUAUUAUAAAAUAGUAUGAGCGAAAGUAUAGUUGUGGUAGAAUGAAACCGCACAGUGCGUUGAGACCUGUGCGGCGUGCACGUACACGGCUUAUCUUAUUAUAUUCAAUGCGACAACAAUUCAUUCUCCAAAAACUUUUUACAAAAAAAUCAAACCCCCCACUCCCAAACCUAGCUAAACUACCCAAACCGACUUUUUUUGUAAUUAUUGUAAUAUUUUUUUGUAAAAAGUUUUUUUUUUUAUUUUUGGCUUUUCAGUGACAAGCAUAGUCGUCACUAUCCGCAUUUGGGGAAAGGUCUCAUCAAUACGAAUAAUAUAAGUCCAAACACGAGGUAGUUUACAUACUUAGUUGUCGAGUUCCCUCGACCUUCUCUCGUCUCCAUCAUCAGGUCAGCUCCAAACCUUCACUGUUGCACAAUGUUAUCAGACGUACACCUCACCUACAAUCUUCGAAAGUUGCUCUCGAUUUCUCAGGGUUUCCAAUAUCAGAUCCUGACCUGGUGAUUAUGGGACCACCUGGAAGGUACACCCUAUCAAACAAAAAAAUAAUUUUGCAAAUCGGUCUACGUGCUUUCGAGUAAUCGGUGAACAUACAUAAAAAAAGAUCCCGACGAAUUGAGAACCUCCUCCUUUUUGGGAAGUCGGUAAAAAAAUAAUUCAUGCUUAAUAAUAAUCGCAGCCUCGCGAUGAGAAGCAGAAACUUAAGCUAUUAUUAUGUAAAUGGUUGGUUUCUUUACAACAUUAUUAACCUUAUUUCUGGGCAUUUCCGCUCACUGAAUCUGCUCGUAUUAUAUAUUAGUAUAAUACAUGAAAUAUUGUAUCGAAUGCAGGCCCCUCUUCUCCACUGGGCACUAUGGGCAAGUGCCCAGGGCCCCGCGAUCGAAUGGGGCCCCCUAGUUCCUGCCAGAUUAGAUAGAGAGUCCUUAAAAUAUCCAUAAAAAUCACAGUACACAAUACAGUGAAUAUUUCUAAGCUAUUUAGGCGCUAUUUGUAAGCGGAGGUGGAGGACUUUUGCGUCCCAAAUGUCAAAAAAUGUUGAGCUCGCUACGCUCGCAGCUGCUUCACUUUCUGGUCGCUUUUUUAAACUUGUGUGGGUACUUUUGUGUUAAAAAUGUCAAAAAUUUCGCGCUCGCUGCGCUCGCGCUUUACACUUUAGCAGUGGUUUUCUUUGAGUUCUUUACAUCGUCCCAAAAAUCAAAAUUUUUACAAAAUAAUCUUCGCUUUACAGCGCUUUUUUCAAACUUGUUUGGGUACUUUUGUGUUAAUUCUGUAUGAUUUUACUACGUGAUUAUAUUUUGUCGUUUUUUUUUUGGAAGGGAGUUGCUCAAUAGGUAGCCCGCCCCGGGUGCUACCCGAUGCUACGCCGCCACUGGCGGAGAACGCUCCUUCUCCAAAUUGAAACGAAUAAAAAAUGAAUUAAGAAGUACAAUGCUUCAAGAGAGAUUAACUAGUUUGUCGCAGAUGUCCAUAGAAUGUGAUAUUCUCAAUACCUACCAUAGAUUUUGAAGAAGUGAUUAAUCAUUUUGCUCGUCUUAAAUCUAGAAGGGUGGUACCUUUGCAAUCAACCUAGAGUUAAUCUAAGGAUUUUAUGCUAAGCGAGUUAUUUUUGUAGAUUAUUUUUUAUAUAUCCUAUUUUUUUAAAGUUUGUCUGAAUAAAAAUAAAUUUAGGACCUUGUUUGUCUAUUUUCUUUAUAUAUUAUCACUAAAUAGUGUUUUCUCAAGGUCAUAGGGGCCCCAUGAUCCUAAUGUGCCCAGGGCCUCAAAUAGUUUAAAGACGGCCCUGAUCGAAUGCUUAGCGGAAUAAGCAGUUGUGGUCGGUGCAGUGAGCACAGCUGAGCUGGGCGCAGUAGGCGCAGUGGGCGCAGUGGGCGCACUCGGGACGCGCGGUGUGCCGUAUUAAUAGACAACAUUGUUGUUGUUGUGUGCGGCGCGUGUUUGUUGUCGCGUGUCGCUGCGUGCCGCCGCCGCACCGCCGCACCGUCGCUAUAAAUACCGCGCUCUGUCGCCGACACCAACAAAUACUACACAUGUUAUUAUUCCCGUCUCAACAUUCUUACACUUUCUUAAAUAUCUCCGCGUGACUCAAUUACAAAAGGACAGCUUGCGCAGAAAUGAAACUUGUUCAAGUGUAGGUAAACAGACACAAGACUGUGCACCGCGUCAGCCUGCAGGCGUCCUCCGCUGCAGUGGCCGCGUCCGCACUGCGCCGGUACCCGGUCACAAUAUAAAGAUGUGCGAGUAUGUGCUGUGUAGUUUUUCCUCGGCAUGGAAAAAGCGCAGCUUCGUGUAGACUGGCCGCUAAUUAUUCGUUUUUUUCUCCAUUUGCGGGUAACGGUGAGUCGCGCACACGAGAGGAGUCAUAACGGGUGGCGGAGGCUUGCUGCGCGUGGGCCGCGGGCGAGGCCGGGGGGUGCGCGGGGCGAGGCGAGGCGAGGGGGGGGGGGGCGAGGCGCUCCGCAAAGGUCAGGCGCCGUGCACCUGCGGCGCAUUGCUGGACCAUUUAUCACAAUCGCCGCUACCACACGUUACCUAUAAAUAUAUGAGUUAUUGGAGGCUCACCGCUGCGCACACGCAGCCUGCAAGCUGCACGGGAGACAGUAGGCAGAGCCGCCUGUACGACACAACUCAGAAUCUAAACGGUUUUAACUUAGAGUUUGCCUUGAAUGUUUGAUUUCUAAAUUAUACCUUUCAGUAGGCUUUAUAAUCGUAUCCGUUAAAAGUGUAUAUUUUUUAUAUCAACAAUUUCAUAAAAUAUUUUAAAAACCUCAUUUCAAAACAGUUUUCAUGGGAGAGAGUCAACAUAAAUAGUAUGGGCCUCUAAAACUAAGAAGUUAAACAAAACCGAAACACAAAAGACGAUGUGUGUGUAUCGCUCCACUCUGUCCUCACUGUAGAUGUCUCAGCUGGUAGUCCGGGAGUACUCCGUGAGUACUCCGGGAGCACGGCUACAUUGCACCCGCUGCUGCUGCGAGAUGCGACUUACAGGAGAACGUUAUCUAAUGAGGCCACCACUGAAAUCCAUGUCAGUUUCAGGCACCGUAUUGAGCAGGCUACAAGAGCACUUCGUUCGUGAUGACGUGGGUAUUGUCUCGUUGUCACCGCCGUCGCCCACUUGACGACAGUUCAGUUUAACUUAACCAUCACCAUCAUAGUUUUUAGGGUUCCGUACCAAAGGCAUAAAACGGGACCCUAUUGUUUUCGCUCCUCUGUCCGUCCAUCCGACCGUCCGUCCGUCCGUCCGUCUGUCACCAGGCUGUAUCUCUUGAGCCGUGAUAGUUAGAGAGCUGAAAUUUUCACAGUUGGUGUAUUUUUGUUGCCGCUAUAACAACAAAUACUGAAAACUAGAAUUAAUUAAUAUUUUGGGGGGCUCCCAUACAACAGACGUGAUUUUUUAGUCCAUUUUAUAAAUAAUGGUUAGGAACCCUUCGUGCGCGAGUCCGACUCGCACUUUUUUUAAUCACUCAGAAAAGGAAGCCCUUUGACUGCGGUUAGGUAUCCCAUUUUUUGGUACGAGUUUAUUUACUAUGUUAGGCCAUUUUUUUGUUGCUGAGGUUUUUACUUUAAUCGGAAAACGAGAUGAUAUUUUUUUAUGACAUUUUAAAUCAAUGUAUGUUUAAUAUACGUUAAUAGUGCCACGAUUUAUUCCAAAAUAUGUAUAAAUGUAAUUAUGUAGGUAUAUAUCGUUAUUAAAAUGAAAUAAUAGGAAGAAGGAAAUGUCUUUGGUGUGGGACGCGCCUGCCAACCUGAACCUGAAGAUCGACCCUGCGUCGAUACCCUUGCAACUUCCCAGUACGGCAAGCAGCCGCGGAAAACCUCAAACGGCGCUAAUAUGAAAACCUCACCGGCAGUUACAUAUUUGAGCUGUUUGGUAUUGAAACCACCACGGAGCACAAGUGGCACAGACUCAAGAAAGUGCUCAGUGGAGUUACUCCUGAACAGCCUUGUGGGCAUGAUGCCCGCUGACUGCGAUGCGGCUCAAUUUAAUAAGAGUUAUAUUUCUAUCUUUUAUUUAUUAGUAAACAUUAACCUACAUUGUUUAUUGUAGUCUGACACCGGGGCUUGCUCGCUAAUUAAAUCCGCAGCUCAAAUAAAAAACAGAAGUGCCUAUAUAACUGCACUAGCGUCUGCCAGCAGUUUCAUCCGCAUCCCGUGGGAACCUCUGUACCAACCCGGAAAAAAGUUGCGUAUAGCCUUUUUCGAUAAAUGGGCUAUCUAACACUAAAAGAAUUUUUCAAAUCGGACCAGUACUUCCUGUGAUUAGCGCGUUCAAACAAAAAAACUUCAGCUUUAUAAUAUUAGGUAUAGAUUAGUGGGAAGUAUUCAUGUUACAAAUAUGGAGUAAGCCCAAACAUGAUUCAGUUAAUAUAUGCCUUCGCGGCGUUCCCUCAACUCUCUCUCGUCUCCAUGAUCAGGUCCUCCGAUUUCUUGACGUUGCUAUCAUCAGAUCCUGGCCUGACGACUAUGGACCAUCUGGAUAGUAUACCCUGUCAAACAAAAAAAAAUAUUUUGCAAAUCGAUCCAGGCGUCUUUGAGUCUUCGCCGAUGAACAUAAAAAAAGAUUCCGACUAAUUGAGAACCUCCUCCUUUUUGUCAGUUAAAAGUAGAGUGAAUAAAAUUGAAUAUCAUACCUACUUCGCCAAUAAAAUUAAAAAAUUUAAAAGUUAGAAAUUAAUAUAAAGAAUGUAAAUCCGCCUGCAUGAAGAAUAACGAACUGAAAAGGCAGAAAUAAGCUAAACCAUCGCAGUUGGAAAACUUUCUAUGGAACGCUUGCUUAUCCAGCGAGGAGGCCGUGGAACUGUCAUUGGUCAGCUGGUUUCUGCUUUUUCAGUUCAUUGUAUUUUCAUGCAGGCUGGUUUUUUGUUUCAAAUAAUAUUUUUUGUAGAGUUUAGAUGUGAUAGGUAACGAUCACUAUAUUCAAAACCAGUACCUACGCACUCUGUGUAGUAUUCUUUACAAAUGGAAACGAUUAAUUUAUUCCACUUGAGCUUAUAAAUUGUAACGUUCUGUAUAUAAGGGUCAUUGUUUGCUUUUAUUGUUACAAUAAGGUGGUGCGUGUUUGCAGCAGCCCCGGCAGUGGCGGCCGCUGCAGCUGAGCGACACGCCGAGCCGCAGGACCAGUGCCGGGGUCCAGCGCGAGCCUCACUUUAUUCAAUAUUACUGGAAUACUACAAACGCGAACCUUGACCAAGUGGGAUGAAAAUAACAAACAUCUGUGAACAAAACGCAAUAAGUAGGUGGCUAUUAAAUAAGGACGUUUGGAAUUUAUAAAAAUCAGCAUAAGUCGUUGAAUGUGUGCGUGAGAGGCGCGAGGUGCGGGGUGCGGGGUGCGGGGCGGGCACACAUGACAACAGUGCACACGGGCUCGUGUCCAUUUGGUGGAUGGGCGGUCGGCGACCCCGGCGGCCGUGGGCGCGCGAUAAACUUUAUAUAUUCAUGGUGCGGCGUAUCGCUGCCCGGCUGGUUAUGUCCGGUACCGUUACCUUUCUUGCUUUCAGAUCUCGUUCGGUGUUUAAUUCUUGUUUUAAAACUGAGGCGACAGUGAGCCGGCGCGCUAAUGAACGCGCCGCAUUACCAUGCGCCGGCGCAGCUGACGGCCACUGCCCCGCCGCUGCGCCGCCUCGGCACCUGCUGCCGCGCUCGCCGCUGCGUGCUCGCCGCGUGCUCGAUGCUCGCAGAAAUUCUAACUAAAACCUAUAACAUAUACCUACCUAGGUAACGAUAGUCAUUUGUUUGUCGGCUCCUAACUUACACGCUGCACAUCUAUUGUGCUUUAGUUCAUCCGACACCCGAAUGUCACUCAGACUGACAACUAACAUCUCACAUUCUGGUGCAUUUUUAUUCAUAUUCUGAAAACCAAUACUACACUUGGAAAUAAUUAUACUUAAAUCGCUACUACAGACAGAAAUUAAAAACAAUUUACAACCAAGCACUUAGGUACUUAGCAUUUAGGAAUCGCGUUGCUCUAUGUAGCCGCAUACUGAAUACGUACCUACUCUCUUUACAAUAUUAUGGUAUACAACAACACAUUUUGCAAUAUUUAUUAAUUUGAGGCCCUUUUUCAC
rnacentral:lncRNA from 1 species